AUUGAACGCUGGCGGCAUGCUUUACACACGCAAGUCGAACGGUAACAGGGUGCUUGCACCGCUGACGAGUGGCGAACGGGUGAGUAAUGCGUCGGAACGUGCCGAGUAGUGGGGGAUAACGCAGCGAAAGUUGUGCUAAUACCGCAUACGUACUGAGGUAGAAAGUGGGGGACCUUCGGGCCUCACGCUAUUCGAGCGGCCGGCGUCUGAUUAUCUAGUAGGUGGGGUAAAGGCUCACCUAGGCGACGAUCGGUUGCGGGUCUGAGAGGAUGAUCCGCCACACUGGGACUGAGACACGGCCCAGACUCCUACGGGAGGCAGCAGUGGGGAAUUUUGGACAAUGGGCGAAAGCCUGAUCCAGCCAUGCCGCGUGUCUGAAGAAGGCCUUCGGGUUGUAAAGGACUUUUGUCGGGGAGGAAAUCCCCAGCGUUAAUACCGCUGGGGGAUGACAGUACCUGAAGAAUAAGCACCGGCUAACUACGUGCCAGCAGCCGCCGUAACAC
rnacentral:rRNA from 1 species